GCCAGACUCCUACGGGAGGCAGCAGUGGGGGAUAUUGCACAAUGGGGGAAACCCUGAUGCAGCGACGCCGCGUGAGUGAAGAAGUAUUUCGGUAUGUAAAGCUCUCUCAGCAGGGAAGAAAAAAGACGGUACCUGACUAAGAAGCCCCGGCUAACUACGUGCCAGCAGCCGCGGUAAUACGUAGGGGGCAAGCGUUAUCCGGAUUUACUGGGUGUAAAGGGAGCGUAGACGGCAAUACAAGUCGGAAGUGAAAUACCCGGGCUCAACCUGGGAACUGCUUUGGAAACUGUAUGGCUGGAGUGCUGGAGAGGUAAGCGGAAUUCCUAGGGUAGCGGUGAAAUGCGUAGAUAUUAGGAGGAACACCAGUGGCGAAGGCGGCUUACUGGACAGUAACUGACGUUGAGGCUCGAAAGCGUGGGGAGCAAACAGGAUUAGAUACCCUCGUA
rnacentral:rRNA from 1 species